AUCAUCAUGCCCCUUAUGAUUUGGGCUACACACGUGCUACAAUGGACAAUACAAAGGGCAGCGAAACCGCGAGGUCAAGCAAAUCCCAUAAAGUUGUUCUCAGUUCGGAUUGUAGUCUGCAACUCGACUACAUGAAGCUGGAAUCGCUAGUAAUCGUAGAUCAGCAUGCUACGGUGAAUACGUUCCCGGGUCUUGUACACACCGCCCGUCACACCACGAGAGUUUGUAACACCCGAAGCCGGUGGAGUAACCUUUUAGGAGCUAGCCGUCGAAGGUGGGACAAAUGAUUGGGGUGAAGUCGUAACAAGGUAGCCGUAUCGGAAGGUGCGGCUGGAUCACCUCCUUUCUAAGGA
rnacentral:rRNA from 1 species